rnacentral:tRNA from 2 species
GUCAGUUUGUCCGAGUGGUUAAGGAGUUAGACUUGAAAUCUAAUGGGCUCGCCCGCACAGGUUCGAACCCUGUAGCUGACG